AUCCUGGCUUAGGACGAACGCUGGCGGCGUGCCUAAUACAUGCAAGUCGAACGGUCUUUCUAUGGAAGCUUGCUUCCACUGAGAAGAUAGUGGCGAACGGGUGAGUAACACGUGGGUAACCUGCCCAUAAGAGGGGGAUAACAUCCGGAAACGGGUGCUAAUACCGCAUAGUUUUCUUGAUCGCAUGAUCGGGAAAGGAAAGACGGCCUUUGUGCUGUCGCUUAUGGAUGGACCCGCGGCGUAUUAGUUAGUUGGUGAGGUAACGGCUCACCAAGACGAUGAUACGUAGCCGACCUGAGAGGGUGAUCGGCCACAUUGGGACUGAGACACGGCCCAAACUCCUACGGGAGGCAGCAGUAGGGAAUCUUCCGCAAUGGACGAAAGUCUGACGGAGCAACGCCGCGUGAGUGAAGAAAGGUUUUCGGAUCGUAAAACUCUGUUGUCAGAGAAGAACAAGUUGGAGAGUAACUGCUCCAGCCUUGACGGUAUCUGACCAGAAAGCCACGGCUAACUACGUGCCAGCAGCCGC
rnacentral:rRNA from 1 species